rnacentral:rRNA from 1 species
AGAGUUUGAUCAUGGCUCAGGAUGAACGCUAGCGGAGGCCUAACACAUGCAAGCCGAGCGGUAGAGAUUCUUCGGAAUCUUGAGAGCGGCGUACGGGUGCGGAACACGUGUGCAACCUACCUUUAUCUGGAGGAUAGCCUUUCGAAAGGAAGAUUAAUACUCCAUAAUAUAUUGAUUGGCAUCAAUUGAUAUUGAAAGCUCCGGCGGAUAGAGAUGGGCACGCGCAAGAUUAGUUAGUUGGUGAGGUAACGGCUCACCAAGACGAUGAUCUUUAGGGGCCUGAGAGGGUGAUCCCCCACACAGGUACUGAGACACGGACCAGACUCCUACGGGAGGCAGCAGUGAGGAAUAUUGGUCAAUGGGUGCAAGCCUGAACCAGCCAUCCCGCGUGAAGGACGACUGCCCUAUGGGUUGUAAACUUCUUUUGUAUAGGGAUAAACCUACCCUCGUGAGGGUAGCUGAAGGUACUAUACGAAUAAGCACCGGCUAACUCCGUG